rnacentral:rRNA from 1 species
CCCUUAGAUGUUCUGGGCCGCACGCGCGCUACACUGACGAAGUCAGCGAGCAUGUCCUACGCCGACAGGUGCGGGGAAUCUUGUCAAACUUCGUCGUGAUGGGGAUUGAUUAUUGAAAUUCUUGAUCAUCAACGAGGAAUUCCUAGUAAGCGCAAGUCAGCAGCUUGCGUUGAUUACGUCCCUGCCCUUUGUACACACCGCCCGUCGCUACUACCGAUUGAAUGGUUUAGUGAGAUCUUCGGAUUGGCGCCACUGCGGCUCAGCAAUGGGCUCGGUGGAUGCCGAAAAGUUGAUCGAACUUGAUCAUUUAGAGGAAGUAAAAGUCGUAACA